rnacentral:rRNA from 1 species
GUUCGAAGGCGAUCAGAUACCGCCCUAGUUCUACCCAUAAACGAUGCCAGCUAGCGAUCCGCCGAAGUUCCUCCGAUGACUCGGCGGGCAGCUUCCGGGAAACCAAAGCUUUUGGGUUCCGGGGGAAGUAUGGUUGCAAAGCUGAAACUUAAAGGAAUUGACGGAAGGGCACCACCAGGAGUGGAGCCUGCGGCUUAAUUUGACUCAACACGGGAAACCUCACCAGGCCCGGACACCGGAAGGAUUGACAGAUUGAGAGCUCUUUCUUGAUUCGGUGGGUGGUGGUGCAUGGCCGUUCUUAGUUGGUGGAGCGAUUUGUCUGGUUAAUUCCGAUAACGAACGAGACUCUAGCCUACUAAAUAGACGUACUUUACCGGCAUCUCAAGGCCCACCGGCUGUUAGUUUUCCGUUACGUUGUCACUUGUUUUAUAUUUAACGUUAAUAUUACAUGUGAUGGGGUAUUUUGUGGUGGGUGUGUGCUAAUAGUUGUUCUGUUUCGGCAGGCUUCUAUUAUGUUACACAUUUUCCCCGAAAUUAUUCAUGUUCACAUGGGUAUUUGUUUUAUGUGGGCAUGUUGGACACUGCGGGCUACAGUUUUUUGGUGUGGUUUUUACUGCCGGCGUACAAAUAAUUCUUCUUAGAGGGACAGGCGGCUUCUAGCCGCACGAGAUUGAGCAAUAACAGGUCUGUGAUGCCCUUAGAUGUUCUGGGCCGCACGCGCGCUACACUGAAGGAAUCAGCGUGUCCUCCCUGGCCGAAAGGUCCGGGUAACCCGCUGACCCUCCUUCGUGCUAGGGAUUGGG